GACGAUCCUCUCGAGCAUCUUGCCCGCUU
rnacentral:sRNA from 1 species